GACGAACCGUGCGAACGUUAUUCGGAAUCAUUGGGCUUAAAGCGCGUGUAGGCGGAUUCGUGCGUCUGUCGCUGAAAUCCCCCGGCUCAACCGGGGAACGGGCGCGGAUACGACGAGUCUGGAGGGGCAUAGGGGGACCUGGAACUUCCGGUGGAGCGGUGAAAUGCGUUGAGAUCGGAAGGAACGCCCGUGGCGAAAGCGAGGUCCUGGAUGCCUACUGACGCUGAGGAGCGAAAGCGUGGGGAGCGAACAGG
rnacentral:rRNA from 1 species